rnacentral:rRNA from 1 species
UACGUAGGGGGCUAGCGUUGUCCGGAAUCAUUGGGCGUAAAGAGCGUGUAGGCGGUCCGGUAAGUCCGUUGUGAAAGUCAGGGGCUCAACCCUUGAAUGCCGGCGGAUACUGUCGGGCUAGAGUCCGGAAGAGGCAAGUGGAAUUCCCGGUGUAGCGGUGAAAUGCGCAGAUAUCGGGAGGAACACCUAUGGCGGAAGGCAGCUU